UACGGAGGAUCCGAGCGUUAUCCGGAUUUAUUGGGUUUAAAGGGUGCGUAGGCGGCCUAUUAAGUCAGGGGUGAAAGACGGUGGCUUAACUAUCGCAGUGCCUUUGAUACUGAUAGGCUUGAAUGUACUUGAGGUAGGCGGAAUGUGACAAGUAGCGGUGAAAUGCAUAGAUAUGUCACAGAACACCAAUUGCGAAGGCAGCUUACUAAAGUAUGAUUGACGCUGAGGCACGAAAGCGUGGGGAUCAAACAGG
rnacentral:rRNA from 1 species